CUCGUAGUUGGACCUGUGUUCCACGCUGUCGGUUCGCCGCCCGUCGGUGUCAACUGGCAUGUCCUGUGGAACGUCCUGCCGGUGGCGGACCGGGCUUUCGGCUUGCGUAAGGGCUCACGCCCGAAGCAGGCCGAACAGUACCGGCCGCCGGUCCAAUCCCGCCACGGUGCUCUUCACCGAGUGUCGAGGUGGGCCGGCACGUUUACUUUGAACAAAUUAGAGUGCUUAAAGCAGGCUGGUGUCCGCCUGAAUACUGUGUGCAUGGAAUAAUAGAAUAGGACCUCGGUUCUAUUUUGUUGGUUUUCGGAACCCGAGGUAAUGAUUAAUAGGGACAGGCGGGGGCAUUCGUAUUGCGACGUUAGAGGUGAAAUUCUUGGAUCGUCGCAAGACGAACCUAAGCGAAAGCAUUUGCCAAGUAUGUUCUCGUUAAUCAAGAACGAAAGUUAGAGGUUCGAAGGCGAUCAGAUACCGCCCUAGUUCUAACCAUAAACGAUGCCAGCCAGCGAUCCGCCGAAGUUCCUCCGAUGACUCGGCGGGCAGCUUCCGGGAAACCAAAGCUUUUGGGUUCCGGGGGAAGUAUGGUUGCAAAGCUGAAACUUAAAGGAAUUGACGGAAGGGCACCACCAGGAGUGGAGCCUGCGGCUUAAUUUGACUCAACACGGGAAACCUCACCAGGCCCGGACACCGGAAGGAUUGACAGAUUGAGAGCUCUUUCUUGAUUCGGUGGGUGGUGGUGCAUGGCCGUUCUUAGUUGGUGGAGCGAUUUGUCUGGUUAAUUCCGAUAACGAACGAGACUCUAGCCUGCUAACUAGGCGAUUCCGGUACCCACAAUAGUGUUACCGGCGAUUCAAUUUCUUCUUAGAGGGACAGGCGGCUCCUAGCCGCACGAGACUGAGCAAUAACAGGUCUGUGAUGCCCUUAGAUGUCCUGGGCCGCACGCGCGCUACACUGAAGGAAUCAGCGUGUCUUCCCUGGCCGACAGGCCCGGGUAACCCGUUGAACCUCCUUCGUGCUAGGGAUUGGGGCUUGCAAUUGUUCCCCAUGAACGAGGAAUUCCCAGUAAGCGCGAGUCAUAAGCUCGCGUUGAUUACGUCCCUGCCCUUUGUACACACCGCCCGUCGCUACUACCGAUUGAAUGAUUUAGUGAGGUCUUCGGACUGGUGCGCGGCGAUCGGCUUUUACUGCCGGCCGCCGAUGUUGCCGGAAAGAUGACCAAACUUGAUCAUUUAGAGGAAGUAAAAGUCGUAACAAGGUUUCC
rnacentral:rRNA from 1 species